GUAGGUGAACCUGCGGAAGGAUCAUUUACACGUAUCCAAACGUUAAAACCCCAAACGUUAAAACCCCUUUAAUCCUGCUCUUGUAACCCGCGCAGUCGCAAUCUCUGGUAAAUCAAAGUGGGAGGAAAGUUGUUUGAUUCAGAGACCUGAGAACAUUGGAACACUUACAAUCGACAUAGGCAUUGUUUCCCCAAGCAGUCAGUGUCGGAAAGUGUCACGGAUUGUGCAAGGAUAGCGCUUCACGCCAUGCCCCCUAAUAACCACAGUUUAAUGUAAAGCUCAAUGUAAUACAUUGAGGAAAAAAACCGAACAACUGUUAACAAUGGAUAUCUUGGUUCUC
rnacentral:misc_RNA from 1 species